rnacentral:rRNA from 1 species
AGCAGCCGCGGUAAUUCCAGCUCCAAUAGCGUAUAUUAAAGUUGUUGCAGUUAAAAAGCUCGUAGUUGAAUUUCGGGGUUAGUAGGUUGGUCAUGCCUCUGGUAUGUACUGGUCUCACUGAUUCCUCCUUCCUGAUGAACCUUAAUGCCAUUAAUUUGGUGUUUUGGGGAAUUUGGACUGUUACUUUGAAAAAUUAGAGUGUUUAAAGCAAGCUAACGCUUGAAUACAUUAGCAUGGAAUAAUGAAAUAGGACGUUCGAUCCUAUUUUGUUGGUUUCUAGGAUUGACGUAAUGAUUAAUAGGGAUAGUUGGGGGCAUUAGUAUUCAAUUGUCAGAGGUGAAAUUCUUGGAUUUAUUGAAGACUAACUACUGCGAAAGCAUUUGCCAAGGAUGUUUUCAUUAAUCAAGAACGAAAGUUAGGGGAUCGAAGACGAUCAGAUACCGUCGUAG